GACGUAGGACGCGAGCGUUAUCCGGAGUUACUGGGCGUAAAGCGCGGGCAGGCGGUCUGACAAGUCUGAUGUGAAAUCUCCGGGCUUAACCGGGAGAGGCCAUUGGAAACUGACAGGCUGGAGGGCAGUAGAGGUAGGCGGAAUUCCGGGUGGAGUGGUGAAAUGCGUAGAGAUCCGGAGGAACACCAGAGGCGAAGGCGGCCUACUGGGCUGCACCUGACGCUGAGCCGCGAAAGCCAGGGGAGCGAACGGG
rnacentral:rRNA from 1 species